rnacentral:lncRNA from 1 species
CAUUGCAAUAACCUAAUGAAUCAUUCUAACCUUGCUCAACUCAGCCAUCUGUUCACAGGAGCUGAUUUUACCAUGAAAUACAAUCUGAUCUCUUUGCAUCCAUCAACUCCAUAGAGUUUCCCAUAUAAACUUGUUUCAUCCUUUCCAUCUAAAACCGACCCACCCGAAAGCUAAGUCAUGGAAAGAUUUAGGACUCACCCAUAUCAUUCCCCACCCUCUUAGACAAGAAGACCAAACUCGAACCUGAAUGC